CAUAAAGAGUGUUCUCACAUAAGAAAAAUUCUCAUAUAAGAAAAAUUCUCACGAGAGCAUUCUCCUAUAUAUAUAUAUAUAUAUAGAAAUGAGAUCAAGAGAACCAAGGUGAAUAUUAGAAACUAGAAACUUUCUUCAAAAAAAAAAAAGAACUAGAAACUCAUCUGGAUCGGACCGUUGAUCGCACUCAAUCUAACGAUUCAUAUUCCACCCGCCUCAUUAAGAGCAAAAUGGUAAAUUCACGCUUUGAAUGACUAGAUUCAAUUAAUCUGAUUUUCAUUUUCAUUUUCUCUCUCUUCGUUUCAUUUUCUCUCUCUUCCUAUGAAUUCUCUCUAAUUCUCUCUCUUCCUUAGAAUUUUUCUGCGCUCUUGCUGUCGUUGGAUUUGCUUUUUUUUCUACGCCUUUUUUCAUUGCAAAUUGAUACCAGACAAUGAUGAUUAUACGGGAUUGAUUGGGUGCCGUGGAGAGGGAGAUAAUAUGGACUAUUGUACGAGGCAUAGCAGUAAGUUGGGAGGCUAGUUGGGAGGCUGAUAAUACAGAUGCAGCAGCAGCUAGUAGCAUGGUUCAGGCUCCUUGUUGCUCGUAGAUUGGGUAUGCAAGAAAUAUGGUUAGGAGAAGAUGUAUUUCUUUGAUUAAGUUUUUUCUUAUUUACUUUUGAGUAUUUUUUAUUUACUUUUGUGAUUAUUCUCUAUAAAAUGGAUCCUAGUGCUAACUAACUAUUCUUACUCUAUAAUAGUCUACUAGCUCAAUGGGUAGAGCAUUGUGCAAGUGCACAAAAGAUGUGGGUUCGAAUCCCACGUAGGUUUUAUGUGUGAAAUCUGAAGAUUAGCAUUUGUAAUGUUUUAUUAGAUUUGUUCUUUUUAUGUUUAUUUUUGAUAUAAUUUUAUUUACUUUUAAUUUGAAAACCUUUACAUCAUAUCGAACUCAAUAUAUUUGUUUCUUAUGACUUAACUCAUCUUAUAAACAUAUGAAAGUCAAUAACUCGUAGUGUUUGUGCUAUAACAAAGUAUCCUUAGUCAUUUAUCAUUUCAAGAUAAUUUAUUUAUUCAUAUACUUUAAUGAUGAUUUGAUUAACUUCAAUGAUACUUUGAUUUACUUUCUAGCAUUAUUUAUUUACUAUAGAGUAAUUAUGAUUUACUUUUGACAUAUAUUAAUUUUUUUUUUUAGUUUUUCUACUUUUAAGAUAUUUUUAUUUACUUUUGAAAUAUUUUGAAUAACUUUAGAGUGUUUUGUAAUUAUUUUUUAAGAUAACCUAUGUCGGAAUCAAACCUACACUUCUAUGCAUCUACAUAGUGCUCUACCACUUGAGCUAAUAGGUUUACAUAAGUUUACUUUUAAAGUCUUUUUUAUUCACUUACAGAGUCGUUUUUAUUUACUUUUUUCAUACCAAAAGCCACUUGAACUAAUAUGAUGUGUUUGGAUACAGACAUACAAUAAAGUGUAUGGAACCUUAACUAGUCCUUAUCGAUUUUUAUGUUUCUUUUCAA